AGACCCUUUGUCGAUUCUCUUUCUCUGAUAAGAGGUGGCUUAAUGUAUUAUCAGGCCACCCACCUGAAACUAAUCCAGCAUCUAUAACCUGCUCGCUCCUUCCCUACGUCUCUCGACGGUGUCGUUGUUGCUGUGACGUUUUAUGUUCACCACCCCUCUGGCCAGUCAACGGCAUAACAGUUUGGGGUUGCAUUCAAUCGACAUAAUCACCCUUCUCAUUAAUGCCAUUGAUCCAGAGACCACAACCUCCACUACGCCGCAUUCAUGACAACCCCUUCUUCCUCCAUGUUUAGUGAAUCUAGACCUAUAAAUAUGAGAGCAGGCUUCGUUGAUAUGCAUCACUUGCUCCCUCUCAAACAUUAUAAUCCUUAUAGAAUCACUAAUCAGCGAUGGCAACCUCCUUCGUUUUCAUCGUCGAUUGGAAAGCCGGCCGCUGUAACAACGUCGUUGAAGUCCGUUUGUUGAGGUUUUCGGAGGCAUGUAAUGACAAAGUUGAUAAGCCGCCGAAGCAAAGCAUCUAUUGGUAAUCGCGAUAUAGGGUACAACCAUACAAAUGUUGAAAACCGCGGGGAAAGCAAGCUCCCCGUUCAUCUCCGAUGUUUCCGAUGUUGUGGGCAUCACUUAUACGAUUUCAGUUUCGGUUGACACCAUUCAUUUAACUUCAAAGCAUCAGACCAUUACCAUUUCCUGAAUCUUCAAUGAACGUCAGCUUCGUCCAAUCCCAGACUUUGGUGAUGAUGGAAGCAACGGACUCGGAGACAAUAUACACAGAGCAACUUCACUUACAUCCACGCUGAGUCUUGGACACGCCCACAAUGCUAAUGAGCCAUAUGUGGACCCGGUGGCUAUGCAUCCACUAAGACUGCUCCCACCAAGUAGCAAUGCAUCUAAGAAGGCACACAGCGGUUAGCUUCAAGAGGAUACAAUCUCCUUUUGAAUUUAUUUAGUUUCUCCUACGUCUCCCAGUCAAUUUACUUUAAAUAUAAGCAUAUUUCCUACUUAAUCAAAUAUGAGGUUGGU